rnacentral:lncRNA from 1 species
ACUUGUUCAGGUUUAAAGUCGGGUUGAACAUAGGCUGGUUUGGGUUGGCCCAACCCAAGUUGCACCCAUCACAGCCACACAUGUGGCUUCAUAGAUCUUUGCUCCAGCAAUCUGGAGCCUUCCAGAUGAUGGUCAAAUGACCAUUAUGCCCUCAACUUUGUUCGUUUAUAAUAUCUUCGUUAUAACUCCAAAUUUGAUUCCACUUGCACCCACACAUUUGUAAUGACAAGUACUUCAAGAAUACACCAAGGAAAUGAAUCUUACGUGACACGACAAGGUGGUCAACAAAAGUCAACAUUUUUGCCUUGAAGGGCAUUUUAGUAAGUUCAUGUUUAAAAAUUAUAAAAAUCGUAAUAUUUAGGGACGAGUCGUUACAACAAGGUGGCUGUGCAGGCAGCCACGUGCUGCACACGCUGAGCUCAGGAGCACCCCCACGCUCCCGCUAGUACGCUAGUACUCACCUUCCUCGCGAGUUACUACAAUUUUGCAAGUUUUUCUCUCAACUUUCAGAGCUUAUUUCGAGCUCGAUUUUCAACCAAAUUCAAUGAUUCAAAAGCCAAAGUGAAGUUAGGAAUGUAAGGAACAUGUCUAUACCAAAAUUGAGGCUCAACGAAGGCCGAAGAUGGUUGGAAAAGAAGUCUAAAAAUGGCCUAACAACUACGGUUUCAAAUUCCAGAAAAAUGCACAAUGCCCUCCCUUGGGAUUUCUCUGCAUCCACAUGUGAUCAACACUUAAAACUACCCUAAUCCAAUACCAAAACACAAUCUAAGGGGUUCUAGGGGGUUUACCUUUGCCCGAGAUGGUGAGAACUCGCUUGAGAAACACAAGCACAGUGGCUGUUAUUGUGCAACACGGGGAAAGAUAUUUGAGGGGUUUUCUCCAUUGUUCCUAGUUUGUGGGGCUCCCAGAUGUCAUGAGGAGGCUAUUGUAGUCGUUGUUGUUGUUGUUGGAUGUGUGUGUAAGUAGUGCUCGGAGUGAAAGAGAGAACAGAGAGAAAUGAGAGAAAGAAUGAGAGUUAUAAGAGUUAUGAGAGAGAGAGAGAGAGAGAGAGAGAGAGAGAGAGAGAGAAAGAAAGACGAGUGAGGGAAGAAAAUAGGGUCACGAGGGAAAAAGAAGAAGCCAGGGACAAGGGGAAAUAAGUGGGCCCCAGUGGCUCACAUAAUAAGGUCCACAAAGGACGAAAAUAGAAAUAUCUUCCUGAAAUAUAAAAUUACCAAAAUAACCCCAACAUUUAAAAUUUCGUAAAAACCUCGUUCAAACUCCAAAUUUAAUCUGCACACACCCAUAAGUUCGUGGCGACGUUACGAUAAGAAUAUGCUAAAAACAUAGGUCAUAUGUCUCAAGAUACAAGGGACAAUGAAAGUCAACGUUUUUUCUCCAGGGGGCAUUUUUCGUAAAAUCACACCUUUAAAAUUAAUAAAACUGUAAAAUCAGGGAUAGGUUAUUACAAUCUACCCACCUUAAAAAAAUUUCAUCUCUGAAAUUUGAAAUAAGUUGCUAUACAUAAAAUACUCGAAUAUAUAUAGUGGUUGUAUAAAUGAGAAUGUCAUUCAGUGGCAAUCGGAUUGCAAGAAUUCAUCUUUCAUGCCUCCAAGCUCAUACUUUCCUUCUCCUUUAGUAUAAUAGUAUAAUAUAAUAUCUACGUAACAACAUAAAGUCGAAAACAUAUAUAUAUAUAUAUACAUAUAUAUAUAUAAUAACAUAAAAUCAAGAAUACAUAUAUAAUAAUAUAAGUUAAACUACUAGCACUAAAAUUAGACCGAAAAUGAAAAUGACUCUCACCCAAACAUUCAUAACGUCGUGUACUCCGAAAAUAUGUGUAUGUGUGUGUCUUUGGGUCAAGCCCAUAUAAUAACUAGUUAGGUACAAAACCUAAUUAAUUGAGAUACUAACAUAUACGGCCUACUUGCCCGCUUGCUUAACGAACCCAAAGAAUAAGUCAUCGAUAUUACAGUCUGCAGCCCGCAAUACUAACAACUCAAUGUUGUCUUGAUAAGCAAGUAAUUACAUCCUGAGAAUGCAAAAUUACCACUUUGCCCCUCACUAAAAGAAUAUGCAUAAAUCGUCCGAUUUAUGCCUCAAUCACACUCACGCACUACCUUCCAGGGUGACAUCGACAGAAAUACAUAGUUUCCCACAUCAUAACUUUGGUCCCUCAAAUACAUGAUUGCAAUACUCUUUUGUUUAUCAAGCGUUGUCCAUAGAAUUCCUUAUACAACGUAACGCCCCCUGUGGUGCCAUACCCAAACCAGAAUGAUAAAUGUCGUUAUAGAAAAACUCAAAUGGAGAUAGGUGUCCGUCCCAACCAUGCUGAAAUUGUAGAACAUAUGAAUGCAAUAUGUCUUUUAAGGCCUGGAUAGUUCGUUCAAACUGGCUAUUAGUCUAAGGGUGAGUUGUGGUACAAGUUAACAACUUAGUACCCAUGGCCUUCAAAAAAGCUUCGCAAGACUUGGAAAUGAAAUGUGUAUCACGAUAUGUGAUAGCACACCACGUAAUCGAACAAUGUAGUUCACACAUGCCUUAGCGAGCUGCCCUAUCGUGAAUUUCCUCCCGAAUUUAGCGAGAAACCAUGCCAAAAAAGCUAAAAUAACAUUCAAGAAUUUAAGGGUUGAAACAAGUUCAUCAAAUCUAAAGUACAAGAUACCUAGAUUGAAUACAUAACUCUGAUGCAUGAACACAUGUAAGUGCUUAACUUGAUUCUGUGGUAGCAAUUUGAAAUGGUUAAACAUUGACUCGACUUGAUCAGUAGUUUGAUGAAAACUAAUGAAUGAGAACUUAGAUUUCCCCUAAACCAAUAUUCACAACAUCUCGCUACAACAGUAACUUCAGAGAUAUUCAAUCACCGAUGGUAAGGAUUUGUUCAAUAUGGUGUUAAUGGGUGCUUGCAGGAUUGAUGAUCUCAACUAAAAACUUCAAUGUCUGAGUGGUUCUCCUAGACAGUCUGUCUACUUAAAAAAUGACACAAAGUGCAAUAGAUAACCCAAGAUUGACUAAAAUAUCUUUUAGUACCAGGAGGUGAAUCUAGGAUUACAAAUAGAGCCGAUGCAUACCAAAACGUCAAAGAGUCUGACAAAUUCGAGAAUGAGGAAUUUUGCCAAACAGUUCUAAGUAUAGUCCUCACGAACUAAUAGAUAAAGCGUUGAGUGAGUUAGUCGACAAACACCAAAACAUGUCCAUAGUCUCCAUGUAUACCAGAUAGUUUAUGCAAGAAAUGGGAAUCACUCUCAACAACUCGAAUGGUUCUUUUCUUCCUGUUUUGACCUUCAGGUAGUAAGGUAUUUGCCUAACGACUAAGCAAUUCCUUUUUCAUCUCACAUCAAAAGUAGAAAGUUAGAACUUAAUAGGCUAACAAGGCUUCUUGAUGAUCUAAAGAAAAAAAAUGUCACAUCAGUAUUCAUGAGUUCUACAUAAGGUGGAAAUAGAAAAGGUUGAAGAGCGUUAAAGUAUCUAUGUGUUUUUCUACUAAAGUCAUCAACAACCACAUUUGCACGAUCAGGGUGGUAUACGAUGGUGCAAUCGUAGACAUUGAUAUCCUAGCCAUCAUCACUAUCUAAGAUUUAGCUCCUUUCGAGUGAAUAUAUACUUGAGAAGUUUACGAAGUUGAUAAAGAUUUGACGUGUUUCUCUAUGGAGAAGGUGUCAAUAGGUUUUCAAGUAAAGACGGCAAUCAUUAACUAUAGGUCGCAGAUAGGAUGGUUCACAUCAUGUGGUCCCAACCGUCAAAAGGCAUAAGCGUUACUUGACCUUGAUGCAUCAGCACGCAGCUAAACAUUUAAUAACACAUCACCGUAGCAUUCGAAAUUGAUCGACAUCAUCAAAGAGUGUAAGAACAAUGGUCAGGUGAGACAACACUCCAAUUGUUAGAAACAUUGUUCAAAUUCAACAUCUCAAACAAAACUAACUUGUUUCCUAGCCAAAAAUGGGAAUAUGGCUAUGCUCGAAGAAUCAUUGACAACUACCGAUAGAAAUCAACAAGACUGAUGAUCACAACACUUUGUGAGGAUUUUCGAUUUUUUGUAACCGCAACCUUUUUGGAAAUUGUAAGAAUAUCGUCUACUACGCUAGCGUCUCCCAAGAAAGAUAUCUACUCUAAACAAAGUUAACAUUAGAGGAAUGUGGUAUAAAGCUGACUAUCGAUGUUUAGUAAAUUUGACCUCGUUGUUGGAGUAAACAAGAAAGUUGUCGUUAAGGCAAUCACGAAUCCGUCAGAAAAUGCAUGGAUUACCCGGUUAGUUAGGUUUAUACACGUCGUUGGAGCAUUCGUCAACUUGUUAAGAGGAAAUGCAAUCACCAAGAAAUAUUAUGAGGUCCACACGAAUUUCCUCGGCGAAAACAACAAGCCCGAGAAAAUUGAUUUGGUCUAACCAAACUGACAUUUGCUAAACUUCGCUUACAGUUGGUGCUUCCUUAGUGUCUCCAACACGAACUUCGGAUGUUUCAAGUAAUCUCCAUAUAGGUAUGACUCUGCCAACCAUUCCUAGGGAACGCAAGUGGCAGAGCAUCAUCAUCGUUUCAGAUCUUCAGUUGGUCUUAACCAAAUUUCAUCCCACUAUGAUUUUUCUAUUUCGCGUCACUUCUAUGUAAAUCUGAUUUUGCUCGCCAUUCAUAAGGAACACAUGUCACAGAGUAUGGUCCGUUGUUGAAAAUCGUCCAUCAUUCCAUUAUGUCACCGAUAAGGCACAAUCCUGACAUGAAUUUUCAUACUUCAAAUAAGGAUGUGACAGUUCAAACUGAAUAAGAAUUGAACAACUGUGCCGUAAGACAUCUAUAAACGAAAGUCGUGACAUCCA